rnacentral:lncRNA from 1 species
GAAUCGCACCCAAAUUCGACCGGGGAAUCGCGCCACCCGGGCCCCGCCAGCCACCAUGAGCUUCUCGUCGAUGAGCAAGCAGCAGGUGCUGGACGCCGGCGAGGGCGCGGGGGAGGAGGUCAUGGAGCUGAUCCCUGGCCUGCCGGAGGAAGUGGCCGAGAAGUGCCUCCUCCACCUGCCCUUCCUCUACCACCGCCUCUUCCGCACCGUCUCCUCCACCUGGAACCGCUUCCUCACCGACGCCCCCGCCAAGCCGCUGCUGCUCGCUCCCCCCGCGGCUGCGGCGGCGCCCGCGGGGUCGGUGUCCUUCUCGCUCCCAUUCCUCUUCGCCUUCGCGUUCGACCCAGCGUCGCGGCGGCUCCAGUGCC